UGCGUGUGUGUGUGUGAGAAUGUGUGUGUGCACGUGUGCGUGUGCCCACCCAGAGAGACGCGGGCCGGGACGGCCCUGCGGUCGAUCCAGAAGGAGACCCAGGACAGGACCACCAUGAGCAUGGUGGGGAAGUACGUCUGCAGCAUGAAGAAGAAGAUGUGCCGCCGCAGGAUGAAGCUGAUGAACAGACGGUUGUACCAACCUGUCACGCGCACGGCUUUCUACACGGCCACUUUAUUAGGCACAGCGACAGACCUGUGCUGCUGUAAAAAGCCAAGCCACUGGAGGGUUGGAAGUGCUCGAUGAAGAACUGAGACAAGAGGAUCUCGUCGGUCCUCAAGGAGUCGUUGCCGUUUUUCCAGUAGAGCAUCAGGUCGUUCUCGUUGUACGCAUCUGAGGAAAGACGGCGUGAGGCUGACACAGCGCAUUCUCUCCAGUUCCAGCGAGCAGUUCUGCGUGUCCAAGGGGAAGCUGCUGAAGUCCAUGGAGCACAGAGAGGUGACGGUGACCCUGAAAGCAACACAAGCACAAAAACAACAAAACUUCAGAAGCCAGACAGCAUCCAUCUUGUCCCGGACUAACCUUUCUGGUGGUGUUGCCAUGGCAGCCUGGCAGCAGCAAGUCAGCUCUUUAUUCAUUUUGGAGCCAACAACGUAGAAAUGAAAAUGUUUCGAGAUGCCGUGAGGAGAGCUGGGCGAUUUUCCGAUCUGCGCAAUUAAUCAAGUUUAUGUGUCGGGAUAAAUGUCUUUUAGGGGCUUCUGUAGCACUCUGUAAUAUUGUACUACAUACAUUAAUGACAUAAUUGAAUAGAAUGUAACGAGUUAAACAGUUUUGCCAC